rnacentral:rRNA from 1 species
AUUGAACGCUGGCGGCAUGCUUUACACAUGCAAGUCGAACGGCAGCGCGGGCUUCGGCCUGGCGGCGAGUGGCGAACGGGUGAGUAAUGCAUCGGAACGUGCCCAGUAGUGGGGGAUAGCCCGGCGAAAGCCGGAUUAAUACCGCAUACGACCUGAGGGGGAAAGCGGGGGACCGAAAGGCCUCGCGCUAUUGGAGCGGCCGAUGUCGGAUUAGCUAGUUGGUGGGGUAAAGGCUUACCAAGGCGACGAUCCGUAGCUGGUCUGAGAGGACGACCAGCCACACUGGGACUGAGACACGGCCCAGACUCCUACGGGAGGCAGCAGUGGGGAAUUUUGGACAAUGGGGGCAACCCUGAUCCAGCCAUGCCGCGUGAGGGAAGAAGGCCUUCGGGUUGUAAACCGCUUUUGUUCGGGAAGAAAUCCUCUGGGCUAAUACCCCGGGGGGAUGACGGUACCGGAAGAAUAAGCACCGGCUAACUACGUG